rnacentral:rRNA from 1 species
GAUGAACGCUGGCGGCGUGCCUAAUACAUGCAAGUCGAGCGAACAGACGAGGAGCUUGCUCCUCUGACGUUAGCGGCGGACGGGUGAGUAACACGUGGAUAACCUACCUAUAAGACUGGGAUAACUUCGGGAAACCGGAGCUAAUACCGGAUAAUAUAUUGAACCGCAUGGUUCAAUAGUGAAAGACGGUUUUGCUGUCACUUAUAGAUGGAUCCGCGCCGCAUUAGCUAGUUGGUAAGGUAACGGCUUACCAAGGCAACGAUGCGUAGCCGACCUGAGAGGGUGAUCGGCCACACUGGACCUGAGACACGGUCCAGACUCCUACGGGAGGCAGCAGUAGGGAAUCUUCCGCAAUGGGCGAAAGCCUGACGGAGCAACGCCGCGGGAGUGAUGAAGGUCUUCGGAUCGUAAAACUCUGUUAUUAGGGAAGAACAAAUGUGUAAGUAACUAUGCACGUCUUGACGGUACCUAAUCAGAAAACCACGGCUAACUACGU